UACGGAGGGUGCGAGCGUUGUCCGGAAUCACUGGGCGUAAAGGGCGCGUAGGCGGCCUGAUAAGUAGGGGGUGAAAUCCUGCGGCUUAACCGCAGGGCUGCCUUCUAAACUGUCAGGCUCGAGCACAGUAGAGGCAGGUGGAAUUCCUGGUGUAGCGGUGAAAUGCGUAGAUAUCAGGAGGAACACCUGUGGUGUAGACAGCUUACUGGACCAUCACUGACGCUGAGACACGAAAGCGUGGGUAGCAAACAGG
rnacentral:rRNA from 1 species